rnacentral:rRNA from 1 species
AAACUUCCCUUCGGGGAAGAUAUAAAGUGGCGCACGGGUGAGUAACACGUAGGUAAUCUACCUUUGAGUGGGGAAUAACAUCGGGAAACCGAUGCUAAUACCGCAUAAUGCAGCGGCACCUAAUGGUGACAGUUGUUAAAGAUUUAUCGCUUAAAGAGGAGCCUGCGGCAGAUUAGCUAGUUGGUAAGGUAAUGGCUUACCAAGGCUACGAUCUGUAUCCGACCUGAGAGGGUGGUCGGACACACUGACACUGAAUAACGGGUCAGACUCCUACGGGAGGCAGCAGUCGGGAAUUUUGGGCAAUGGGCGAAAGCCUGACCCAGCAACGCCGCGUGAAGGAUGAAGUUUUUCGGAAUGUAAACUUCGUAAGAAUGGGAAGAAUAAAUGACGGUACCAUUUGUAAGGCCCGGCUAACUACGUGCCAGCAGCCGCGGUAAUACGUAGGGACCAAGCGUUGUUCGGAUUUACUGGGCGUAAAGGGUGCGUAGGCGGCGCGUCAAGUCAGUUGUGAAAUCUUAAGGCUUAACCUUAAGCGGUCAACUGAUACUGUCGUGCUAGAGUGCAGAAGGGGCAAUCGGAAUUCUUGGUGUAGCGGUGAAAUGCGUAGAUAUCAAGAGGAACACCUGAGGUGAAGACGGGUUGCUGGGCUGACACUGACGCUGAGGCACGAAAGCUAGGGUAGCAAACGGGAUUAGAUACCCCGGUAGUCCUAGCCCUAAACGAUGAAUGCUUGGUGUCUGGAGUUUCAAUUCUCCGGGUGCCGUCGCUAACGUUUUAAGCAUUCCGCCUGGGGAGUACGUACG